GGUGGAAGCGGAAUUAGUGAGGAUCACUCCUUGUCCCCUUGUGUCAGAGUUCCAACAUACUGCCCAGCUGAUCAGUGUUCCAGGAGAAAGGAGGCUCUGCAGGAACUAAUAGCAGCAGGAUUUUGCUCCCAAUCACACAGAAUGAAACUGUUGAAAAGAGGAGGGAGUGCAUCGUUGCAGCACUUGAAUGAAGACCCAGACAUCCUCUUCGACGAAUACCUGCUUGAGGAUUCUGAUGGCACUGCUGCACAGAGGAAGCUGGAGCAGCUUACCCUUGGCAUCUACACCAUCAAAGUGGAGGGAGGUGAUGCCACCACUCCUCCUGCUGAGGUUGGAAUUGUGAUCGAGGGUGUUGAAGUUCUGCAUGACCUGGGAGACGUCGCCUCUGCAUGUGCACUCUUAAUGGGUGGAAUACAUGCACUGAACUGCAGUUAUCCUGAGGAAGUGAAGACAUUCUUUGAGGUACUUCAGAAGCUCUUCCUUCAGCUCGAUGCUGGCAAACUCUCAGCCAAGGUACAGAUGCUCAAGAACAAACUGUAUCAACAAUUGAUUUGGAUGCUGAUUGUGAAUAAAAUGAUCUGUUGGAAAAUGGAGGAAAAAAAAGUCACUUCAGAAAAAUGAACAAACAUUUGGAGAAGUUUUGGGAAACUGCUUCCAUAAGUCAAAAAUGAUAGUGGAGCGGGGUUCCCACAC